rnacentral:rRNA from 1 species
GGCAACGACCAUACCACGUUGAAUAAUACCGGUUCCCGUUCGAUCACCGACGUGAAGCAACGUCGGGCGCGGUUUUAGUACUUGAAUGGGUGACCGCUUGGGAACACCGCGUGCCGUUCUUU